rnacentral:snoRNA from 1 species
CAACAUGAUGCACAACAUACCAUAGCGACUAGGUUCGCCGAUGCUGUUGCUAAAUACCAUCUUUCGGGUCUGACA